rnacentral:rRNA from 1 species
GCCCCGGUAAACGGCGGCCGUAACUAUAACGGUCCUAAGGUAGCGAAAUUCCUUGUCGGGUAAGUUCCGACCUGCACGAAUGGCGUAAUGAUGGCCAGGCUGUCUCCACCCGAGACUCAGUGAAAUUGAACUCGCUGUGAAGAUGCAGUGUACCCGCGGCAAGACGGAAAGACCCCGUGAACCUUUACUAUAGCUUGACACUGAACAUUGAGCCUUGAUGUGUAGGAUAGGUGGGAGGCUUUGAAGUGUGGACGCCAGUCUGCA